CGAACCCUUCUCUCCAAAAACCCACCGCCGAACCUCCUCUUCCCGAGCCACACGCGACCUCUCCCUCUUGCGAUUUUCUCCCCUAAAGCCACCGCCGACUCUGUUCCUCUCGCUCUCUCUCGAGUUCUCGGACGCCGCCGGCAUCUCUUCCUCACACUAGCACCUGAGACGCCACACCACCGCCGGUCACGACGAGCCCCAGCCGCCGACUUUUCCUCCUCACGCAAACAGCACAACGACGAUCCCUCUCCCUCACACAAGCACCACGGACCAUAGCCGCUGACCCCUCUUCACCCCGAGGCGUGCCCUAACUGAUCCAGCAAGUGGGCUUCCCCUGGACGUUGAUUCGGGAUGAAUGCCUCGACGUGAGACUACUUGACAAGAUCUACGUAUAAAGACGGGUAACAGGUAGAUGAGUCAUGGAUGCUUGGAGAGUCCCAGCUGCCAGUCCCACGACACACUCGAGGAUAGUUUCUUUUCUGAUUUUGGUUGCUAACGCUAUUUAUGUUUUGGUUUUGUGAACUUGGUAUUGUAUGCUUCGAUAUGGAUUUUAGAGUCUAGUCUGGCGGUUGCAGGUAAUUUAGUUAGUGACUUUGUCGGUCAUACAUUUGUUUUCUUUUUGUGAUUUCCGCUGCGUUUACAUCCAGCCGUGUAGGCUGAGUAUUUAUCGUUCUGUCUUCCGCUGUGUGUGUUUCUAUUUUGUUCCAGCCGUUUUGGCUGAUGGUUAUAGAUAAUGGUUAUGUGUUAUUUCAUUUUGUCCAGCCGAGUAGGCUGUGUAUAUUUAACUGCGUGGUUGUGUUGUUUCUAUUUUCUAUGGUAUAUAUAUCCCAGCCGAGUGUGGCUGAUGUAUAUUUUGUAUGUAGUAGUGCUUCAGAUUGUCACCCGUACAGGGGAGAUGCUGCCGAAAUUUCUUCUGGCAGGGACCCCUCUAGGGGCGUGACAAUUUAGUGGUAUCAGAGCCUGGUUCGAGUCAAAUGCUGGGUUUUGUGUUUUUCGGAUUUCGAUCUUGUUCGAUUUAUGAUUUUCGGUGUUCCGAUUGUUUUGUUCUCCCUUUGUAAGUUGAUACCUCGAUGUGAUUCUCAAGUUUUUGGACCAGGCAGCGGCAGGAUAUCUCCGAGCUAUAGGAUGUAUGUUGUCUACUGCUAAAUAUUUUCAUUUAAAAUUAAGCUACAAUUAGCUGAUACUGACCUGAUUGUGGGGUUAGCUUUCUAGCAACUUAGUAAACUGCUUGAGCGUGUCUGAUCGACUUUAUCCAUCUCACUUCCUAAUAAGUUAUUUAGAAGAUUGGGACCAAAUAAGACAUCUGAUAAAUGUUAUAGUGUUAGCAGAUCCUCGUCUUAAACUUUAUGUUACAUUGCAAAUGCAUUGUUCAGUGUCCAAAUGCCUCUAAUUUGUUUCCUUAAAAUAACGCAGACUGUAAGGAUUACGGUAUAGCUCAGAUUUGCAUGUGCUUCUUUAUACCUUCCUUUCUAACCCAGCACAAGUAUUUGAACAACCAAUUAUUAUAUAUCUAUAUGUUUUAAUGUAAAGAGCCCUUCAAAGAAUGGUUCAGGAGAGCAACUGGGAACCAUACAACAGCAUCUGUAUAAUUGUAUACCAUAAAUGAUGCGUUGGGACAGCCAUUCUUUAGGUUCAUCAAACUUUAGUAGAGGUUAAAAUAAGGAAGCAGAGAGUCUUUACUUGGUUCAAAUUGCAACUCGGCUUUAUUACAAACUGAUCUGUGGAACCAAUAGAAACCUUUUAUUUGCUUAUAAACAAUACAAAAUAUACUGUUCUUGGUCUUUCAACUCUUAUCUAAACCUUUUGCAAGUCCAACUCAAUUACAAUGCAUCUAGAUUUGAAAAAAAAAAUGUAAAAGACAUAAUUGCAGCAAUGAGCUAGUUGUACCCAUAUGUUCUGAGUAGUGAUCAAAAAAAAAAAAAAAAAGGGUGGCUUUAAUCUGUUGUUCCACCUUACUACUUACUAUUGCUCAAGCAUUCUAAAUCCACAACUUGACAUGAUGCAAGGCCAUUGGCAGGUUAAUGCCUAAGCAUAGUACAUUUUGACUGGAGAAUUAGUUCCUUCCCUGUGGUUAGUGGUUAGCCAUGGUGUGUUGAUGUUUGUCAAACACUUUAAGUUACACAUUUGCACUUGAUAAAUUAUGCAUGAAUGUGCAAGACAACUCGUGUUGCUUGAGGAGAUUCAGAAACAAGCUUGGUUGAUGAGUUUAAUGGAUUGAGUAUAAAGCUUUGUGGAGCUUCAUCCUUGAGCAUGAUCAUUAAACACGGAUAUUGGAUCCAAAGGCUUUUGUGUUUGAGCUAUAAUCUUUUGGGUUUGUUUUAAUUAGGAACUAUUAAAUGAAACGUAGCUUUCUAUUUGACCUGGUAAACUUAACAGCAGAACAUUUUGAAAAUUAGUACUGGGCAUAAACUUUGCAAGAAAGUGAAACAAGAUAGUUAAUUUACCUAUAGUUGGUUAGACAGUAGUAUGUAAGUAGCGGAAGCGGAGCGAGCCCAUAACCCACAGAGCCAUCACUUACAGUUGGAGAUUGUUCGUGACACUUGGUUGGAGUAGUAUACGAGUAUGUUGUUUGUUGUUACCCUAGGACGAGGAUCCUGGAGUUAGCAAGAAAUUUGGGGACCAAAUUUUUUAUUAGUGGGGGAGAUUGUAAAAUAUAGUACCAAUUAAUAAUUAAAUAAUAAGGUUAUUUAAGGAAAUAAUUUUAUUGGAAUUUUUAGGAAUUUUUAGAAAUUUUUUUGGAAUUAAUUGGAGCUCGUACGACGUAUUUAGAGGGGUGUACUUAUGGGCUCAAGAAAAAGUCAGUUUGAAAUACCGGGAGGAGGGAGUUGAUUGAGAAAUUAAUCUAGGGUUUAAUUUAAAGUUUCCUAAGUUAUAAAUCUAUAAUGACCGAACCCUUCUCUCCAAAAACCCACCGUCGAACCUCCUCUUCCCGAGCCACACGCGACCUCUCCCUCUUGCGAUUUUCUCCCCUAAAGCCACCGCCGACUCUGUUCCUCUCGCUCUCUCUCGAGUUCUCGGACGCCGCCGGCAUCUCUUCCUCACACUAGCACCUGAGACGCCACACCACCGCCGGUCACGACGAGCCCCAGCCGCCGACUUUUCCUCCUCACGCAAACAGCACAACGACGAUCCCUCUCCCUCACACAAGCACCACGGACCAUAGCCGCUGACCCCUCUUCACCCCGAGGCGUGCCCUAACUGAUCCAGCAAGUGGGCUUCCCCUGGUAGAACGUUGAUUCGGGAUGAAUGCCUCGACGUGAGACUGCUUGACAAGAUCUACGUAUAAAGGCGGGUACUUCUUGCUUUGUUUUCUUUUAGUACUUUGACCUUAGUGCAUGAAUUAUUUUGGAUAAGGACUAUUUACCUUGACUUCACUCUUAUUUUCCUGCGCUUGAU